GAUGAACGCUGGCGGCGUGCUUAACACAUGCAAGUCGAACGGAAAGGCCCAAGCUUGCUUGGGUACUCGAGUGGCGAACGGGUGAGUAACACGUGGGUGAUCUGCCCUGCACUUCGGGAUAAGCCUGGGAAACUGGGUCUAAUACCGGAUAGGACGAUGGUUUGGAUGCCAUUGUGGAAAGUUUUUUCGGUGUGGGAUGAGCUCGCGGCCUAUCAGCUUGUUGGUGGAGUAAUGGCCUACCAAGGCGUCGACGGGUAGCCGGCCUGAGAGGGUGUACGGCCACAUUGGGACUAAGAUACGGCCCAAACUCCUACGGGAGGCAGCAGUGGGGAAUAUUGCACAAUGGGCGCAGGCCUGAUGCAGCGACGCCGCGUGGGGGAUGACGGCCUUCGGGUUGUAAACUCCUUUCGCUAGGGACGAAGCGUUUUUGUGACGGUACCUGGAGAAGAAGCACCGGCUAACUACGUG
rnacentral:rRNA from 1 species